rnacentral:rRNA from 1 species
GGGUCAGUAGGUUGGUCGUGCCACCGGUACGUACUGGUCUCACUGAUUCCUUCUUCCUGAAGAACCGUAAUGCCAUUAAUUUGGUGUUGCGGGGGAACAGGACUGUUACUUUGAAAAAAUUAGAGUGUUUAAAGCAAGCUAACGCUUGAAUACAUUAGCAUGGAAUAAAGAAAUAGGACGAUCGAUCCUAUUUUGUUGGUUUCUAGGAUUGACGUA